GGGAGUUUCAAGGAACUCACUCACAGAACUGCAAGAAGCAAACUGUGUGAGAGAAGUGCUGGGAGAAGCUGAUCUUGGCAGAAGACACUGCAGGACAAAAGCUUGACUCAAAAAAGGAAGAAGGAGCCGGAAGUCUGCAGUGGAGUGGGUUGCGUUGGAGGGUAGACAGGCAAGUGACCAUGAGGAACGAAGAAACAGAGCACCAGAGUGAAGGAACUCAAUCACAGGCAUGGACUGGACCUUGACAAGAGGGAAAACAGACUUGGACUCUGUGCGAGGGUGGCAGCUCGCUAAAGUCUCUUUGCUGGCAAACAGACAUAACUCUUCAACUGGAUCCAAGGGUGUCAUACGAUCAUCAAUCAUAUGCACAAAGUUAAGUACGAAUGAAUUGCUGUCUGUGUAUCCAGUAUAUUCAUUCAUAAAAAGGGGUAAUUAUGGUAUAAGCCUGUCUUGACUUUCUCUCUGAGGCCUACAGAAGCAAGCUGUGUUCCCUGCAGAUAUGCUGUCUCUACAACGCAGAGUGGAGCAGUUUCCCAGUCUGAAAGGAGGAGAACAGAGGCUGCAUCCCGUGGUAACGUGCAGUGUGGUCAGCUGACAGAACGGGCCGCCCAGCCACUGCUCCGGAGGUUAGCUGGAAGCUAACCCUUUGUUCACACAUCUUUCUUCAAUCAAACU